GGGUUGUGAGGUUAAGCGACUAAGCGUACACGGUGGAUGCCCUGGCAGUCAGAGGCGAUGAAGGGCGUGCUAAUCUGCGAUAAGCGCCGGUAAGGUGAUAUGAACCGUUAUAACCGGCGAUACCCGAAUGGGGAAACCCAGUGUGAUUCGUCACACUAUCAUUAACUGAAUCCAUAGGUUAAUGAGGCGAACCGGGGGAACUGAAACAUCUAAGUACCCCGAGGAAAAGAAAUCAACCGAGAUUCCCCCAGUAGCGGCGAGCGAACGGGGAGGAGCCCAGAGCCUGAAUCAGCAUGUGUGUUAGUGGAAGCGUCUGGAAAGGCGCGCGAUACAGGGUGACAGCCCCGUACACAAAAGCGCAUGUGCUGUGAGCUCGAUGAGUAGGGCGGGACACGUGGUAUCCUGUCUGAAUAUGGGGGGACCAUCCUCCAAGGCUAAAUACUCCUGACUGACCGAUAGUGAACCAGUACCGUGAGGGAAAGGCGAAAAGAACCCCGGCGAGGGGAGUGAAAAAGAACCUGAAACCGUGUACGUACAAGCAGUGGGAGCCUCUUUUAUGGGGUGACUGCGUACCUUUUGUAUAAUGGGUCAGCGACUUAUAUUCUGUAGCA
rnacentral:rRNA from 1 species